rnacentral:tRNA from 1 species
UUAAUUGAAACCAAAAUAGAGGUAAAUCAUUGUUAAUGAUUAGAUUGAGAUUUCUCCAAUUAAA